rnacentral:rRNA from 1 species
UACGUAGGGCGCGAGCGUUGUCCGGAAUCAUUGGGCGUAAAGAGCUCGUAGGCGGCCGGUUGCGUCUGCUGUGAAAUCCCGGGGCUUAACCCCGGGCGUGCAGUGGAUACGGGCUGGCUGGAGGCAGGCAGGGGAGAAUGGAAUUCCCGGUGUAGCGGUGAAAUGCGUAGAUACCAGGAGGAACACCGGUGGCGAAAGCGGUUUCCUGGCCGAGUACUGACGCUGAGGUACGAAAGCGUGGGGAGCGAACGGG